rnacentral:rRNA from 1 species
CAAUAGCGUAUAUUAAAGUUGUUGCAGUUAAAAAGCUCGUAGUUGGAUUUCUGGCAGGAGUGACUGACCACAAACUCUGUUUGUGAGUUGUGUCAUUCUGGCCAUCCUUGGUAAGAUCCUUUUUGGCAUUAAGUUGUCGGGAAGGGGAUGACCAUCGUUUACUGUGAAAAAUUAGAGUGUUUAAAGCAGGCUUAUGCCGUUGAAUAUAUUAGCAUGGAAUAAUAAGAUAGGACUUUGAGUCUAUUUUGUUGGUUUGCGAGUCAAAGUAAUGAUUAAUAGGGACAGUUGGGGGUAUUCGUAUUUCAUUGUCAGAGGUGAAAUUCUUGGAUUUCUGAAAGACGAACUACUGCGAAAGCAUUUACCAAGGAUGUUUUCAUUAAUCAAGAACGAAAGUUAGGGGAUCGAAGAUGAUUAGAUACCAU